GGCCAGUCGCUGUGGUUCAAAGCCAACACCGACUACGUGGACUUCUACUGGACCACAUGGAGACCUUCAAACCGGACCAACAAGUUCAGCGACUUCCCCGACUCGUGGGUCUGAGAACGCCGCCGAGCCUCGGUCCAGCCGGCCUCCUGUCUGUGGGUGUUUGAGUGCUGAGAGACAUGACCGUGAACACCGUUGACACCCACCUGAGGGAGACGCUGCCUAAGAUCUCAAGGCUGCUUGGUCGUGGUCUUUCUGGUCCUGCUCCAGAACGCCUUCAUCAACUACAUCUUCUUUUGAAGAGGCCCUCAGAUGCUGUAAUCUCUGACCUUCAGGAGGAAUUGCUACUUUCACUCUGUAACGAGACGGCGGUUAUUUUAAAGACCU
ensembl:lncRNA